UGUUAGUGGGGUGUAUUCCUUAACCGGAAGCGCUACACAACCUUUUCUGAAGUUCGAUGUGGUGAAGACGGAGAUAAGAGUGGGGUGUAUUCGUAAACUGGAAGCACUAUGCAACGUUUUCUGAAGCGCAAUGUGGUGACGAUGGUGAAAGGAGUGCGAACAUUUGUGGUGCAACAAUAGAAGGAUAUGGUGCAUCCUGUUUUUGGAGUCCAAUGCUGUCUGCGGAAAUACACAGAGAAGUUGAUUCAGUGUUUAAUGGUGUACAUCUCUGACAAUGCUGAUAAUCUCAUCAGGCAUUACCAGGAUAGCCAUGGUGACCUAAAGGAACUGGAACAGCACACACACUGAGGAUUAUCACAAAGGUGGCUUCAUGGACGAUCCUUUAGAAACUAACUUUCUUUUGGUCAAAUUGUCACUUUUUU